rnacentral:rRNA from 1 species
CUUAACACAUGCAAGUCGAGGGGUAUUAGUUUUCGGACUAAGAGACCGGCGCACGGGUGCGUAACGCGUAUGCAAUCUACCUUUUACAGAGGGAUAGCCCAGAGAAAUUUGGAUUAAUACCUCAUAGUAUAGCAGUUUCGCAUGAAACCACUAUUAAAGUCACAACGGUAAAAGAUGAGCAUGCGUCCCAUUAGCUAGUUGGUAAGGUAACGGCUUACCAAGGCUACGAUGGGUAGGGGUCCUGAGAGGGAGAUCCCCCACACUGGUACUGAGACACGGACCAGACUCCUACGGGAGGCAGCAGUGAGGAAUAUUGGACAAUGGGCGCAAGCCUGAUCCAGCCAUGCCGCGUGUAGGAUGACGGUCCUAUGGAUUGUAAACUGCUUUUGUACGAGAAGAAACACUCCUAUGUAUAGGAGCUUGACGGUAUCGUAAGAAUAAGGAUCGGCUAACUCCGUGCCAGCAGCCGCGGUAAUACGGAGGAUCCAAGCGUUAUCCGGAAUCAUUGGGUUUAAAGGGUCCGUAGGCGGUUUAGUAAGUCAGUGGUGAAAGCCCAUCGCUCAACGGUGGAACGGCCAUUGAUACUGCUGAACUUGAAUUAUUAGGAAGUAACUAGAAUAUGUAGUGUAGCGGUGAAAUGCUUAGAGAUUACAUGGAAUACCAAUUGCGAAGGCAGGUUACUACUAAUUG